rnacentral:rRNA from 1 species
AAACAUGAGAGUUUGAUCCUGGCUCAGGACGAACGCUGGCGGCGUGCCUAACACAUGCAAGUCGAGCGAAGGGAGUA